AGAUUUGAUUCUGGCUCAGAUUGAACGCUUGCGGCAGGCCUAACACAUGCAAGUCGAGCGGCAGCGGGAAAGUAGCUUGCUACUUUUCCGGCGAGCGGCGGACGGGUGAGUGAUGCCUGGGAAAUUGCCCAGUCGAGGGGGAUAACAGUUGGAAACGACUGCUAAUACCGCAUACGUCCUACGGGAGAAAGCAGGGGACCUUCGGGCCUUGCGCUAUCAGAUGAGCCUAGGUCGGAUUAGCUAGUUGGUGAGGUAAUGGCUCACCAAGGCGACGAUCCGUAACUGGUCUGAGAGGAUGAUCAGUCACACUGGAACUGAGACACGGUCCAGACUCCUACGGGAGGCAGCAGUGGGGAAUAUUGGACAAUGGGCGAAAGCCUGAUCCAGCAGCCGCGUGUGUGAAGAAGGCCUUCGGGUUGUAAAGCACUUUCAGCGAGGAGGAAAGGUUGAUACCUAAUACGUAUCAGCUGUGACGUUACUCGCAGAAGAAGCACCGGCUAACUGCCGUGCCAGCAGCGCGGUAAU
rnacentral:rRNA from 1 species